UUUUAAAUUUAGAGUUUGAUCCUGGCUCAGGACGAACGCUGGCGGCGUGCUUAACACAUGCAAGUCGAGCGAUGAAGCUUCCUUCGGGAAGUGGAUUAGCGGCGGACGGGUGAGUAACACGUGGGUAACCUACCUCAAAGUGGGGGAUAGCCUCCCGAAAGGGAGAUUAAUACCCCAUAAUAUAAGAAAAUCGCAUGAUUAUCUUAUCAAAGAUUUAUCGCUUUGAGAUGGACCCGCGGCGCAUUAGCUAGUUGGUGGGGUAACGGCCUACCAAGGCAACGAUGCGUAGCCGACCUGAGAGGGUGAUCGGCCACAUUGGAACUGAGACACGGUCCAGACUCCUACGGGAGGCAGCAGUGGGGAAUAUUGCGCAAUGGGGGAAACCCUGACGCAGCAACGCCGCGUGGGUGAUGAAGGUCUUCGGAUUGUAAAGCCCUGUUUUCUGGGACGAUAAUGACGGUACCAGAGG
rnacentral:rRNA from 1 species